rnacentral:rRNA from 1 species
UACGUAGGUGGCGAGCGUUGUCCGGAUUUACUGGGCGUAAAGGGAGCGUAGGCGGACUUUUAAGUGAGAUGUGAAAUACUCGGGCUCAACUUGAGUGCUGCAUUUCAAACUGGAAGUCUAGAGUGCAGGAGAGGAGAAUGGAAUUCCUAGUGUAGCGGUGAAAUGCGUAGAGAUUAGGAAGAACGCCAGUGGCGAAGGCGAUUCUCUGGACUGUAACUGACGCUGAGGCUCGAAAGCGUGGGGAGCAAACAGG